CCUACGGGAGGCUGCAGUGAGGAAUAUUGGUCAAUGGGCUUACGCCUGAACCAGCCAAGUCGCGUGAGGGAAGACUGCCCUAUGGGUUGUAAACCUCUUUUGUCAGGGAGCAACGCCGGCUACGUGUAGCCGGACUGUGAGUACCUGAAGAAAAAGCAUCGGCUAACUCCGUGCCAGCAGCCGCGGUAAUACGGAGGAUGCGAGCGUUAUCCGGAUUUAUUGGGGGUAAGGGGAACGCAGGCGGUCUUUUAAGUCUGAGGUGAAAGCCUUCGGCUUAACCGGAGUAGUGCAUUGGAAACUGGGAGUCUUGAGUGCUGAAGAGGCGAGUGGAAUUCCAUGUGUAGCGGUGAAAUGCGUAGAUAUAUGGAAGAACACCAGUGGCGAAGGCGGCUUUCUGGUCUGUAACUGACGCUGAGGUUCGAAAGCGUGGGUAGCAAACAGGAUUAGAUACCCGAGUAGUC
rnacentral:rRNA from 1 species